GAUGAUGUUAUGACAUUGAGACGCAUUGAUCCAAUGGUGUGGUAGAUCAUGAGAUCAUUGACAAAUCUGCAUUAAACAUUUAAACCAAAUUUGCAUGUUCUUACACUUCACCUUGCUUGUAAUCCAAUUACUUUAAGAGAUGGUUAAAUAGAGAAGGUGAGAGUGG